GGCGCGGGCCGGGAAAAGGAAUCAAUGGAGAGAGAGAGCGCCUAGAAGCGUCCGCACCACACAGUUGGGGUAGCUAUAGCUCCGUAGCAGCGGCGGCCUGCUUCCCGGCUGGCGACACGGAGACCGACCGCCCGGCCGGCGUGGAGUAACCACGACGAGCCCGUGGGCCUGCUGCUAGCCGCGCCGGCGGCGUACGCACUCACUCACUGACUGCUCCCCGAUCGCGUACCACUCGUCCACUCCUCCCUCGGGGGCCCAAUCAAGCCUGGCACAGCGGCACCACAGCCGCGGGCAAUGAUGCUUCUUACGGCUUCUGGUCACUAAAAAGGAACUAUUAGUUGGUGGAGAGGGAGAGCUCGACGUGACGAUGGCAACCACCAUGUGACGUUGCUAUUGCUGGGCCCGUGUGGCCGCGCUGCAAGUAGAAUCAAACAAAGCAAGCUUGUAAUUGUGCAACCAAACAUUUUUCUCUUUAAUAAAUUAUGGUGACAGAAUAUGACUUUGUAACAAAACAACCAUAUGCAGAUUAGAAUGCUACUUAUUAGUACCAUAAAUAAGGAUUCCAAAACACU
rnacentral:lncRNA from 7 species